rnacentral:rRNA from 1 species
GACGAACGCUGGCGGCGUGCUUACACAUGCAAGUCGAACGGAAAGGCCCUGCUUUUGUGGGGUGCUCGAGUGGCGAACGGGUGAGUAACACGUGAGUAACCUGCCCUUGACUUUGGGAUAACUUCAGGAAACUGGGGCUAAUACCGGAUAGGAGCUCCUGCUGCAUGGUGGGGGUUGGAAAGUUUCGGCGGUUGGGGAUGGACUCGCGGCUUAUCAGCUUGUUGGUGGGGUAGUGGCUUACCAAGGCUUUGACGGGUAGCCGGCCUGAGAGGGUGACCGGCCACAUUGGGACUGAGAUACGGCCCAGACUCCUACGGGAGGCAGCAGUGGGGAAUAUUGCACAAUGGGCGGAAGCCUGAUGCUGCAACGCCGCGUGCGGGAUGACGGCCUUCGGGUUGUAAACCGCUUUCGCCUGUGACGAAGCGUGAGUGACGGUAAUGGGUAAAGAAGCACCGGCUAACUACGUGCCAGCAGCCGCGGUGAUACGUAGGGUGCGAGCGUUGUCCGGAUUUAUUGGGCGUAAAGGGCUCGUAGGUGGUUGAUCGCGUCGGAAGUGUAAUCUUGGGGCUUAACCCUGAGCGUGCUUUCGAUACGGGUUGACUUGAGGAAGGUAGGGGAGAAUGGAAUUCCUGGUGGAGCGGUGGAAUGCGCAGAUAUCAGGAGGAACACCAGUGGCGAAGGCGGUUCUCUGGGCCUUUCCUGACGCUGAGGAGCGAAAGCGUGGGGAGCGAACAGGCUUAGAUACCCUGGUAGUCCACGCUGUAAACGGUGGGUACUAGGUGUGGGGUCCACUCCACGGGUUCCGUGCCGUAGCUAACGCUUUAAGUACCCCGCCUGGGGAGUACGGCCGCAAGGCUAAAACUCAAAGGAAUUGACGGGGCCCCGCACAAGCGGCGGAGCAUGCGGAUUAAUUCGAUGCAACGCGUAGAACCUUACCUGGGUUUGACAUGGAUCGGGAGUGCUCAGAGAUGGGUGUGCCUCUUUUGGGGUCGGUUCACAGGUGGUGCAUGCCUGUCGUCAGCUCGUGUCGUGAGAUGUUGGGUUAAGUCCCGCAACGAGCGCAACCCUUGUUCACUGUUGCCAGCACGUUAUGGUGGGGACUCAGUGGAGACCGCCGGGGUCAACUCGGAGGAAGGUGGGGAUGACGUCAAGUCAUCAUGCCCCUUAUGUCCAGGGCUUCACGCAUGCUACAAUGGCUGGUACAGAGAGUGGCGAGCCUGUGAGGGUGAGCGAAUCUCGGAAAGCCGGUCUCAGUUCGGAUUGGGGUCUGCAACUCGACCUCAUGAAGUCGGAGUCGCUAGUAAUCGCAGAUCAGCAACGCUGCGGUGAAUACGUUCCCGGGGCU